rnacentral:tRNA from 1 species
UGGCUUAUAGCUCAAUGGUUAGAGCACCUGCCUUAUACGCAGUCGGUUAUCGGUUCAACUCCGAUUAGGCCAACAA